rnacentral:rRNA from 1 species
AGUGAACGCUGGCGGUAGGCCUAACACAUGCAAGUCGAACGGCAGCACAGUAAGAGCUUGCUCUUACGGGUGGCGAGUGGCGGACGGGUGAGGAAUACAUCGGAAUCUACUUUUUCGUGGGGGAUAACGUAGGGAAACUUACGCUAAUACCGCAUACGACCUACGGGUGAAAUCAGGGGAUCUUCGGACCUUGCGCGAUUGAAUGAGCCGAUGUCGGAUUAGCUAGUUGGCGGGGUAAAGGCCCACCAAGGCGACGAUCCGUAGCUGGUCUGAGAGGAUGAUCAGACACACUAGAACUGAGACACGGUCCAGACUCCUACGGGAGGCAGCAGUGGGGAAUAUUGGACAAAGGGCGCAAGCCUGAUCCAGCCAUACCGCGUGGGUGAAGAAGGCCUUCGGGUUGUAAAGCCCUUUUGUUGGGAAAGAAAAGCAGCAGGUUAAUACCCCGCUGUUCUGACGGUACCCAAAGAAUAAGCACCGGCUAACUUCGUG